rnacentral:rRNA from 1 species
AUUGAACGCUGGCGGCAGGCUUAACACAUGCAAGUCGAGCGGAGCGAGGGUGCUUGCACCUUAGCUUAGCGGCGGACGGGUGAGUAAUGCUUAGGAAUCUGCCUAUUAGUGGGGGACAACAUUCCGAAAGGGAUGCUAAUACCGCAUACGCCCUACGGGGGAAAGCAGGGGAUCUUCGGACCUUGCGCUAAUAGAUGAGCCUAAGUCGGAUUAGCUAGUUGGUGGGGUAAAGGCCUACCAAGGCGACGAUCUGUAGCGGGUCUGAGAGGAUGUACCGCCACACUGGGACUGAGACACGGCCCAGACUCCUACGGGAGGCAGCAGUGUGGAGUAUGGGACAAUGGGGGGAACCCUUAUCCAGCCAUGCCGCGUGUGUUAAGAAGGCCUUUUGGUUGUAAAGCACUUUAAGCGAGGAGGAGGCGCUCUAGGAUAAUACCCUAGAUGCGUGGACGUUACUCGCAGAAUAAGCACCGGCUAACUCUGUGCCAGCCGCCGCCGUAACAC